rnacentral:rRNA from 1 species
AGAGUUUGAUCCUGGCUCAGAACGAACGCUGGCGGCGUGGAUAAGACAUGCAAGUCGAGCGGGACAUUUCGGGUAGCAAUAUUCGGAAUGUUUGGCGGCGCAAGGGUGCGUAACACGUGGGUAAUUUGCCAUGAAGCUGGGGAUAACUCCGGGAAACCGGAGCUAAUACCGAAUGUGAAUGUUUUUGGGCAUCCAGAGACAUUUAAAGCUGGGGACCGUAAGGCCUGGCACUUUAUGAUGAGCCCGCGGCCUAUCAGCUAGUUGGCGUGGUAACGGCACACCAAGGCUAAGACGGGUAGCUGGUCUGAGAGGACGACCAGCCACACNGGAACUGAGACACGGUCCAGACACCUACGGGUGGCAGCAGUCGAGAAUUUUUCACAAUGGGCGCAAGCCUGAUGGAGNGACGCCGCGUGGGGGAUGAAGGGCUUCGGCUCGUAAACCCCUGUCAGUUGCGAACAAUGUGCACUCAAUAACACUGGGUGCGNUGAUAGUAGCGACAGAGGAAGGGACGGCUAACUNUGUGCCAGCNGCCGCGGUAAUACAGAGGUCCCAAGCGUUGUUCGGAUUCACUGGGCGUAAAGGGNGCGUAGGCGGCUUUGCAAGUCUGAUGUGAAAUCUCCAGGCCCAACCUGGAAACUGCAUUAGAAACUGCGGGGCUAGAGGCUUGGAGGGGGAACNNGAAUGCUCGG